GACGAACGCUGGCGGCGUGCCUAAUACAUGCCAGUCGAACGCACAGUUUAUACCGUAGCUUGCUACACCAUAGACUGUGAGUUGCGAACGGGUGAGUAACGCGUAGGUAACCUGCCUGGUAGCGGGGGAUAACUAUUGGAAACGAUAGCUAAUACCGCAUAAUAUUAAUUAUUGCAUGAUAAUUAAUUGAAAGGUGCAAUUGCACCACUACCAGAUGGACCUGCGUUGUAUUAGCUAGUAGGUGAGGUAACGGCUCACCUAGGCGACGAUACAUAGCCGACCUGAGAGGGUGAUCGGCCACACUGGGACUGAGACACGGCCCAGACUCCUACGGGAGGCAGCAGUAGGGAAUCGUCGGCAAUGGACGAAAGUCUGACCGAGCAACGCCGCGUGAGUGAAGAAGGGUGUCGGAUCGUAAAGCUCUGUUGUAAGAGAAGAACGGGUGUGAGAGUGGAAAGUUCACAAUGUGACGGUAGCUUACCAGAAAGGGACGGCUAACUACGUG
rnacentral:rRNA from 1 species